rnacentral:rRNA from 1 species
AUUGAACGCUGGCGGCAGGCCUAACACAUGCAAGUCGAGCGGAUGAAGGGAGCUUGCUCCUGGAUUCAGCGGCGGACGGGUGAGUAAUGCCUAGGAAUCUGCCUGGUAGUGGGGGAUAACGUCCGGAAACGGGCGCUAAUACCGCAUACGUCCUGCGGGAGAAAGUGGGGGAUCUUCGGACCUCACGCUAUCAGAUGAGCCUAGGUCGGUUUAGCUAGUUGGUGGGGUAAAGGCCUACCAAGGCGGCGAUCCGCACCUGGUCUGAGAGGAUGAUCAGUCACCCUGGAACUUAGCCACGGUCCAGACUCCUGCGGGAGGCAGCAGUGGGGAAUAUUGGACAAUGGGCGAAAGCCUGAUCCAGCCAUGCCGCGUGUGUGAAGAAGGUCUUCGGAUUGUAAAGCACUUUAAGUUGGGAGGAAGGGCAGUAAGUUAAUACCUUGCUGUUUUGACGUUACCAACAGAAUAAGCACCGGCUAACUUCGUG